rnacentral:rRNA from 1 species
GACGAACGCUGGCGGCGUGCUUAACACAUGCAAGUCGAACGGAAAGGCCCUGCUUUUGUGGGGUGCUCGAGUGGCGAACGGGUGAGUAACACGUGAGUAACCUGCCCUUGACUUUGGGAUAACUUCAGGAAACUGGGGCUAAUACCGGAUAGGAGCUCCUGCUGCAUGGUGGGGGUUGGAAAGUUUCGGCGGUUGGGGAUGGACUCGCGGCUUAUCAGCUUGUUGGUGGGGUAGUGGCUUACCAAGGCUUUGACGGGUAGCCGGCCUGAGAGGGUGACCGGCCACAUUGGGACCGAGAUACGGCCCAGACUCCUACGGGAGGCAGCAGUGGGGAAUAUUGCACAAUGGGCGGAAGCCUGAUGCAGCAACGCCGCGUGCGGGAUGACGGCCUUCGGGUUGUAAACCGCUUUCGCCUGUGACGAAGCGUGAGUGACGGUAAUGGGUAAAGAAGCACCGGCUAACUACGUGCCAGCAGCCGCGGUGAUACGUAGGGUGCGAGCGUUGUCCGGAUUUAUUGGGCGUAAAGGGCUCGUAGGUGGUUGAUCGCGUCGGAAGUGUAAUCUUGGGGCUUAACCCUGAGCGUGCUUUCGAUACGGGUUGACUUGAGGAAGGUAGGGGAGAAUGGAAUUCCUGGUGGAGCGGUGGAAUGCGCAGAUAUCAGGAGGAACACCAGUGGCGAAGGCGGUUCUCUGGGCCUUUCCUGACGCUGAGGAGCGAAAGCGUGGGGAGCGAACAGGCUUAGAUACCCCGGUAGUCCACGCUGUAAACGGUGGGUACUAGGUGUGGGGUCCAUUCCACGGGUUCCGUGCCGUAGCUAACGCUUUAAGUACCCCGCCUGGGGAGUACGGCCGCAAGGCUAAAACUCAAAGGAAUUGACGGGGCCCCGCACAAGCGGCGGAGCAUGCGGAUUAAUUCGAUGCAACGCGUAGAACCUUACCUGGGUUUGACAUGGAUCGGGAGUGCUCAGAGAUGGGUGUGCCUCUUUUGGGGUCGGUUCACAGGUGGUGCAUGGCUGUCGUCAGCUCGUGUCGUGAGAUGUUGGGUUAAGUCCCGCAACGAGCGCAACCCUUGUUCACUGUUGCCAGCACGUUAUGGUGGGGACUCAGUGGAGACCGCCGGGGUCAACUCGGAGGAAGGUGGGGAUGACGUCAAGUCAUCAUGCCCCUUAUGUCCAGGGCUUCACGCAUGCUACAAUGGCUGGUACAGAGAGUGGCGAGCCUGUGAGGGUGAGCGAAUCCCGGAAAGCCGGUCUCAGUUCGGAUUGGGGUCUGCAACUCGACCUCAUGAAGUCGGAGUCGCUAGUAAUCGCAGAUCAGCAACGCUGCGGUGAAUACGUUCCCGGGGCU